AGAGUUUGAUCCUGGCUCAGGAUGAACGCUAGCUACAGGCUUAACACAUGCAAGUCGUGGGGCAGCAUGGGAGAUGCUUGCAUUUCCUGAUGGCGACCGGCGCACGGGUGAGUAACGCGUAUCCAACCUGCCCCUUACUCCGGCACAGCCCGUCGAAAGGCGGAUUAAUGCGGGAUGCAGUCAGAGAGAUGCAUAUAUGUCUGACGAAAGGAUUCGUCCGGUAAGGGAUGGGGAUGCGUCCGAUUAGCUUGACGGCGGGGUAACGGCCCACCGUGGCUACGAUCGGUAGGGGUUCUGAGAGGAAGGUCCCCCACAUUGGAACUGAGACACGGUCCAAACUCCUACGGGAGGCAGCAGUGAGGAAUAUUGGUCAAUGGGCGAGAGCCUGAACCAGCCAAGUAGCGUGCAGGAAGACGGCCCUAUGGGUUGUAAACUGCUUUUGUACGGGAAUAAAGUUGGCCACGUGUGACCAUUUGCAUGUACCGUACGAAUAAGGACCGGCUAAUUCCGUGCCAGCAGCCGCGGUAAUACGGAAGGUCCGGGCGUUAUCCGGAUUUAUUGGGUUUAAAGGGAGCGUAGGCCGUCUCAAAAGCGUGUUGUGAAAUGUCCCGGCUCAACCGGGGAUGUGCAGCGCGAACUGUGAGACUUGAGUGUGCGGAAGGUAUGCGGAAUUCGUGGUGUAGCGGUGAAAUGCAUAGAUAUCACGAAGAACUCCGAUUGCGAAGGCAGCAUGCCGCAGCACCACUGACGCUGAUGCUCGAAGGUGCGGGUAUCGAACAGGAUUAGAUACCCUGGUAGUCCGCACAGUAAACGAUGGAUGCUCGCUGUGAGUCAGUUGUGAUUUGCGGCCAAGCGAAAGCGUUAAGCAUCCCACCUGGGGAGUACGCCGGCAACGGUGAAAC
rnacentral:rRNA from 1 species